UACGUAGGUGGCGAGCGUUGUCCGGAUUUAUUGGGCGUAAAGAGCCCGCAGGCGGCUUGGCAAGUUUGAGGUGAAAUCUCCCGGCUUAACUGGGAGGGGGCCUCGAAAACUGCCAGGCUUGAGGCAUGGAGAGGGAUGCGGAAUUCCCGGUGUAGUGGUGAAAUGCGUAGAUAUCGGGAGGAACACCAGUGGCGAAGGCGGCAUCCUGGCCAUGUCCUGACGCUCAGGGGCGAAAGCGUGGGGAGCAAACCGG
rnacentral:rRNA from 1 species